rnacentral:rRNA from 1 species
GAUGAACGCUGGCGGCGUGCCUAAUACAUGCAAGUCGAGCGAAUGGAUUAAGAGCUUGCUCUUAUGAAGUUAGCGGCGGACGGGUGAGUAACACGUGGGUAACCUGCCCAUAAGACUGGGAUAACUCCGGGAAACCGGGGCUAAUACCGGAUAACAUUUUGAACCGCAUGGUUCGAAAUUGAAAGGCGGCUUGGGCUGUCACUUAUGGAUGGACCCGCGUCGCAUUAGCUAGUUGGUGAGGUAACGGCUCACCAAGGCAACGAUGCGUAGCCGAGCUGGGAGGGUGAUCGGCCACACUGAGACUGAGACACGGCCCAGACUCCUACGGGAGGCGGCAGUAGGGAAUCUUCCGCAAUGGACGAAAGUCUGACGGAGCAACGCCGCGUGAGUGAUGAAGGCUUUCGGGUCGUAAAACUCUGUUGUUAGGGAAGAACAAGUGCUAGUUGAAUAAGCUGACACCUUGACGGUACCUAACCAGAAAGCCACGGCUAACUACGUGCCAGCCGCCGCAGUAA